rnacentral:rRNA from 1 species
GACGAACGCUGUCGGCGUGCUUAACACAUGCAAGUCGAACGGAAAGGCCCUGCUUUUGUGGGGUGCUCGAGUGGCGAACGGGUGAGUAACACGUGAGUAACCUGCCCUUGACUUUGGGAUAACUUCAGGAAACUGGGGCUAAUACCGGAUAGGAGCUCCUGCUGCAUGGUGGGGGUUGGAAAGUUUCGGCGGUUGGGGAUGGACUCGCGGCUUAUCAGCUUGUUGGUGGGGUAGUGGCUUACCAAGGCUUUGACGGGUAGCCGGCCUGAGAGGGUGACCGGCCACAUUGGGACUGAGAUACGGCCCAGACUCCUACGGGAGGCAGCAGUGGGGAAUAUUGCACAAUGGGCGGAAGCCUGAUGCAGCAACGCCGCGUGCGGGAUGACGGCCUUCGGGUUGUAAACCGCUUUCGCCUGUGACGAAGCGUGAGUGACGGUAAUGGGUAAAGAAGCACCGGCUAACUACGUGCCAGCAGCCGCGGUGAUACGUAGGGUGCGAGCGUUGUCCGGAUUUAUUGGGCGUAAAGGGCUCGUAGGUGGUUGAUCGCGUCGGAAGUGUAAUCUUGGGGCUUAACCCUGAGCGUGCUUUCGAUACGGGUUGACUUGAGGAAGGUAGGGGAGAAUGGAAUUCCUGGUGGAGCGGUGGAAUGCGCAGAUAUCAGGAGGAACACCAGUGGCGAAGGCGGUUCUCUGGGCCUUUCCUGACGCUGAGGAGCGAAAGCGUGGGGAGCGAACAGGCUUAGAUACCCUGGUAGUCCACGCUGUAAACGGUGGGUACUAGGUGUGGGGUCCAUUCCACGGGUUCCGUGCCGUAGCUAACGCUUUAAGUACCCCGCCUGGGGAGUACGGCCGCAAGGCCAAAACUCAAAGGAAUUGACGGGGCCCCGCACAAGCGGCGGAGCAUGCGGAUUAAUUCGAUGCAACGCGUAGAACCUUACCUGGGUUUGACAUGGAUCGGGAGUGCUCAGAGAUGGGUGUGCCUCUUUUGGGGUCGGUUCACAGGUGGUGCAUGCCUGUCGUCAGCUCGUGUCGUGAGAUGUUGGGUUAAGUCCCGCAACGAGCGCAACCCUUGUUCACUGUUGCCAGCACGUUAUGGUGGGGACUCAGUGGAGACCGCCGGGGUCAACUCGGAGGAAGGUGGGGAUGACGUCAAGUCAUCAUGCCCCUUAUGUCCAGGGCUUCACGCAUGCUACAAUGGCUGGUACAGAGAGUGGCGAGCCUGUGAGGGUGAGCGAAUCUCGGAAAGCCGGUCUCAGUUCGGAUUGGGGUCUGCAACUCGACCUCAUGAAGUCGGAGUCGCUAGUAAUCGCAGAUCAGCAACGCUGCGGUGAAUACGUUCCCGGGGCU